CGACCGGCGCACGGGUGAGUAACGCGUAUGCAACCUGCCCGUUUCAGCGGGAUAACCCGGAGAAAUCCGGCCUAAUACCGCAUGUGGCCGAGGGGAGGCAUCUUCUUUCGGCCAAAGGAGGCGACUCCGGAGACGGAUGGGCAUGCGUGACAUUAGCUUGUUGGCGGGGUAACGGCCCACCAAGGCGACGAUGUCUAGGGGCUCUGAGAGGAAGGUCCCCCACACUGGUACUGAGACACGGACCAGACUCCUACGGAAGGCAGCAG
rnacentral:rRNA from 1 species